rnacentral:rRNA from 1 species
UACGGAGGGGGCUAGCGUUGUUCGGAAUUACUGGGCGUAAAGCGCACGUAGGCGGCUUGGAAAGUCAGAGGUGAAAUCCCAGGGCUCAACCUUGGAACUGCCUUUGAAACUCCCAGUCUUGAGGUCGAGAGAGGUGAGUGGAAUUCCGAGUGUAGAGGUGAAAUUCGUAGAUAUUCGGAGGAACACCAGUGGCGAAGGCGGCUCACUGGCUCGAUACUGACGCUGAGGUGCGAAAGCGUGGGGAGCAAACAGG